GACGUAGGGGGCAAGCGUUCUCCGGAAUUACUGGGCGUAAAGCGCGCGCAGGCGGUCCGCUAAGUUCGAAGUGGUAAUCACUGGCUUAACCGGUGAGGCGCUUUGAAAACUGGCAGACUUGAGAGCGAGAGAGGGACACGGAACUCCAGGUGGAGCAGUGAAAUGCGUAGAGAUCUGGAAGAACACCAACGGCGAAGGCAGUGUCCUGGCUCGUCUCUGACGCUCAAGCGCGAAAGCUAGGGGAGCGAACGGG
rnacentral:rRNA from 1 species